AAAACAGUGACACUACAGCUGUGUAGCAACCAACCCUGUCAGUAACCAGACAACCAAACUCAGCAUUGAGGAGCACUGUAGCAACAUGCAGACUCCAGUGACUGUGCCCGGUGCAUCACCCUGACUGAGUUGGCGGUGCGAUCAGUCCUGUCUGCCCUGGUGGCUGUGGCCACGAUGGCUCUGCUGGUUCAUCACUUCUGGCACAGACGAAACCCUUGGACUCAGACCUGACUCUCUGGGGUAUCACUAUUUCAAAAACUGUCCAUGGUUUUGCGUGGACUUGAACAGUGUCGUGGUAUUGUCAUUUACAUGACAUGACAAAUGUCAGGACAUAAUGAGAAGAAAAAACGAACACCCUUCCCUUUCAUGAAUAACACUUGUACUUGUCUUUUCUUACUAGUACUGACUUUGCUGAUAGCUACAUGAGGAAAAUGUUUUGAUUACUAUGACUGUGAUAUGUUACGUCUCUCUUAGCUACCUUAAGAUAAACGCACAAACUGUAAGUCCUCUGGAUAGAGCGUCUGCGAAAUUACUCAAAUGUAUAUGGAAAAGUAACUAUGUAUUGGAAACAGUUUUAUAACUUAACAAGUUGUUUCCACUUGCCCACUAAUGCCAAUUGCUAUAGCAAAAGCAUAAGGAUACCUGUCCAGACUACAUAACUUUGUCAUAACCAUGAAAAGUGUCAUAGUGUUUGUUGGUGGGCUUUUUGUUUUGUUUUAGGAGGGUGGACAUUGCUCUCCGUGUCAUAAUGCUAUCACAGUGUCAUGGUGCUUUCACUCAUGGAGAUCACGUGUCAGACACAAACAGCACUUUAACAGGGGCCUGUUAAGACUUAGAAUAACUAUAUUUUUUUCAGCAGGAAUCAAUCUUGUCAGGUACUAACAAGGACAUUGAAUCAACAGUUUGUUGUAUGUUCAAAUAUGUUAAAAAUAUUAUACUACAUAUCAAUUAUUAAAAUCAAACAUUC